GAUGAACGCUGGCGGCGUGCCUAAUACAUGCAAGUCGAGCGAACGGACGAGAAGCUUGCUUCUCUGAUGUUAGCGGCGGACGGGUGAGUAACACGUGGAUAACCUACCUAUAAGACUGGGAUAACUUCGGGAAACCGGAGCUAAUACCGGAUAAUAUUUUGAACCGCAUGGUUCAAAAGUGAAAGACGGUCUUGCUGUCACUUAUAGAUGGAUCCGCGCUGCAUUAGCUAGUUGGUAAGGUAACGGCUUACCAAGGCAACGAUGCAUAGCCGACCUGAGAGGGUGAUCGGCCACACGGGAACUGAGACACGGUCCAGACUCCUACGGGAGGCAGCAGUAGGGAAUCUUCCGCAAUGGGCGAAAGCCUGACGGAGCAACGCCGCGUGAGUGAUGAAGGUCUUCGGAUCGUAAAACUCUGUUAUUAGGGAAGAACAGAUGUGUAAGUAACUGUGCACAUCUUGACGGUACCUAAUCAGAAAGCCACGGCUAACUACGUG
rnacentral:rRNA from 1 species